CAGUGCUGGGAUUACAGGCGUGAGCCACCAUGCCCGGCCACUCAUUUUAUAAAUGGAAAGUUUUGGAAAGAUGAUACAGCUACCGAGGGUCUGCCAUUCAAAUAUAAGCCUAACUUUGAAAUCAAUAUUUAUACCUUUUCCCUUCUUAGGAAAAGCUGAUACUGAAAAUAGGAAUAGGUUGGUGGGGGAAUAGCAAAUAUGUAGCUCCCCCAAAUCACAAAUCAAGGUAUGGAUUGUCAGAAAAGCUUAGUUAUACACAGAGCUGGUGUAUUUGAAGAAGCAUGUAGCUAUAAUCUCUGUUUCCUGCUAAUUAAAUGGGUCUUGGAGUCUUCAUACAGUUGCCAAAGGCAACCAUAAUUUUAGUUAUUCACAAUCCACAUUUAAUAAAAUAAAAUAUAGAGCUUGUAGAGCCUUUGACCUUUUUAAUAGUUACAAAGAAAGACUAAGCCUCAGUCCCUGUUGGGAGAGCAGAGUUGCUAUCUGGUGAGGGAAAGACGCCAUGGAUAAUCUUUAGACCCUAAAGGGACAAAAUCAAGUUUUCUCUUCAGAGCUGAGUAAAUGUAGAACAUGGGAUUUUAGUGGCAGUAGGAAAUAUUCUGCCCUAAAUUCUGCCUGUUUUCUGAUACUUGAAAUCCCCUUUACAUGAGAAAAAUGGGUUUUAUUUAAAUGUAGAUAAUCAAUUUUAAAUACUCGAGAAAGUAAUCAGAAUUAUUCUUAGUAUACUCCAUCAAAUAUAAACUCCUAGUGUCAAAUUUUAUUUUGAUGGUAGAGAGAAGCAUAGCACUAAAAGAUACAAAAAGAUUUUGUUAAACCCUUGUAUUAUCUUUUGUUGUUAGAGAACACUGUGCAGAAAUGUGUGUCUUACUCAACUCAAUCACAGUUGAGCAGGAACACUGUUGCUCUUGACUAUUGACAGAAUGAUGACUAUCUUAAAAGUUCUAACCACUAUAGAAAGAGGCCGUAUUUCUUGGGAGCCAUUUUACAGAUGAUCUGCAAAGCCCAAUUGUCAUAGUUGCCUUAUUUUAAUAGACACUGAGCAGAAUGUUUCUGCUCUUGAAGUCUACACUUAAAGAGAAGUGGGUGGCUGUUGGGGUGUACCUUUUCUGCACAUUUAUAAUCCACAUUCAGAUUUACCUGAUUCUCAUUUCUUUGGCUUAAUCUUUUCAGUGAUAGUAGAGCAAUACUUUGUGUCCACAGUAAAACGUUUUUCUGCCAAUAUAAUGCUGUUUAAGUUAUGUUUUAAGAACUGGAAUAUCAUUUCCAUUUAGAGUGGUCUUUAACCCAAAGAGCCACAGUUAAUGUGGAUGGGUACUUCAAGUACUGGAUCAUUUGUUAGGGUCUUGCCUUUCUACUGGUCUUCUGGAAGGUGUAAUGGAAAUCCCAGCCACCAUGUGAUUAAGGAUCUGUGGGAAAUGUUCCUUCCAUUCUGUACUGUGCCACAAAUGUAUACUGUUUUGGAAAAAUGCUGUUGAUUUUUCAGGAAAACAGAAUCUUCAUAUCUUUUCAUUUCCAGUGGGGUUCAGUCUCCUUUUCUUGAAUUAAGGUAUUUCCCAACUAAAAAUGUGCUAUGUGGCUUAAAUUUUUGUUAAUACCAUUAGUGGUUCAAUAACAUAAUCUAAUUUAUUAGCAGCUCUUCAGAAAGCAUAUCGUAUAAUUUUCAGAGAUAAGGACAUCUCAUAGCUUUUGAGUCAGCUUAAAUGGAUAAUUAAAUCCAUUCAAAUUAGAAUGUCCCAUUUUGGAGUUUAACUUGAAUUUUUGUGUAUGGUAUGGAAUUUGCUCAGACUUUGACAAGAGAUUGAUGACAUAUCUGCAGUGUUUGGUCUUGUGAGCGCUGUCUCUUCUCUCAUAGGCAGGCAUGUUUCUCUAUUCUCACCUGAAGAAAUUAUCUAUAGUUGUGUUCCUCUUUAGAAUUUAAGAGAAAAGUGCAGGUACAAUUCACAGAAUUUCACGUGGGUAUUCCGUGACAAAUGAGCCAGACGUUGGUAGCCUUUUGGAAUAAAAUAGGCAAUUUUGGAAAACCUGACUCUGAUUAGGUCCUUGUGCCUUUAUAAAAAUUACUUUUUAGGUAGGAAGCUGAGAA
rnacentral:lncRNA from 1 species